rnacentral:rRNA from 1 species
GGGGAAUAUUGCGCAAUGGGGGAAACCCUGACGCAGCGACGCCGCGUGAAGGAAGAAGGUCUUCGGAUUGUAAACUUCUUUGGUCGGGGACGAAGAAAUGACGGUACCCGAUAAAAAAGCCACGGCUAACUACGUGCCAGCAGCCGCGGUAAUACGUAGGUGGCAAGCGUUGUCCGGAAUUACUGGGUGUAAAGGGCGUGUAGGCGGGGAUGCAAGUCAGAUGUGAAACCCCACAGCUUAACUGUGGGCUUGCAUCUGAAACUGAAUUUCUUGAGUGUUGGAGAGGGAAGUGGAAUUCCUAGUGUAGCGGUGAAAUGCGUAGAGAUUAGGAGGAACACCAGUGGCGAAGGCGACUUCCUGGCCAAUAACUGACGCUGAGGCGCGAAAGCGUGGGGAGCAAAC